rnacentral:lncRNA from 1 species
CCUCUCAGUCGUCUGCUUAUGGUUCAGGCUGACCUGGAAGGACGUGAUAUGAAAAGAAAGAUAAAGCGACGAGAUUGCUGCUAUGAAGGGAAGGUGUUUAAAGAUCACGAGGUCAAACCGCCCACCCCAGCUCGGCAGUCAGUCCCUCCGCCCCCUACAGACGAUUUCGUAUCUCAAGACACUGCUGAGUCUCCAUACUGCUGCAAUACCUCUGUGGAUAAAGCCUACUAAAUAUUGUGGUUGACUGUCGACACGUGGCUAUUACCCUCCCUACCGUUACUGAGGUUGUCUUUGGUCCAUGCCGCCGGGAAAUCAGUUGCAAAGGACAGUUUGCUGAAUACAUUUAUCGUUCUAAAAUACCUUUCGUAACUCGUUUCGAAGACAGGGGGUCAGCACAGUGGAGGAUGGUCAGAAAUAAAGCAGCAAGAUAGUAACAUUUUCACUCACCUUUGUGUUACGCAUGAUGUUCCUGACUCCAUACGACGUGCACCCAAGGAACUCACUCAGCCUGUCAGAACAAAAACAAGGAUCCUCAUGAGCCUGAUGAGCCUUGCCCAUCCCACGCCUCUCCAUUCUACAAGAGCCAUCACAGCCUGCAAUCCUGUCACCGACAGUCUUAGACACCCAACCUUGACCCCAGGCAGGACAUGAAGACACGUCAGUGACGGACGAAGACGUGUCACCUGUCACAACUGAAGACACGGCAAAUCUGUCGAGCAUCCAGCUCUCAUCAUCUCCGAUCUCAUCUGAUAAAUCGGUUUCCGUCAACGGCACGUCCUCGAGCUCCACGGUGAUUCCAACGGUGACGCCUGCUGCGAUGGUUGCAGCAUCCACGUGGCUGUAAUCGGCUUUGUCCAGGUCCUCGGACCUAGUGACAUCCGAGGGCUGCUGGGGUAAACAGCGUCUGAGGGGACGCACGCAGUUCCAGGAUGCGAAGCGAACUUUGCACGAGCUGCCGGAUCGGUUGGUGCCGGUAAACAGUCGUUUGCCACGUUGAUUCAUGAUGUCUUGCUGGCUUGGUUAGUUGCUUGGAAAAUGCUGGACUUUUUUUUAUACAAACAUUUCUGGCACCAUAAAGUAGAAAUGUAGAUGAGAUCUUUGUCUGACAACACCACCGGUUAAGGCGAAUUCAAAACAAGAUGUUCCUUGUAACAAUUUGCAGGCUGCCUGGGUCUACCACACAAUAAAAAAUUUUUAUCUGUCGCCAAAUUUUCAGUCACCUCCGAUCAUACUAUCUUGUUCAGACUAUUCUCUCCUACACAACAUCUGUCUUGUCCACUUCAGUCUUGAUGGGUUUUGUAAAUGGCGCUUGUCAGCCGCACGCACAUAGUAGGAGCAUCGACACUGAACUGCAGCCACUCACUGAUAAAACAUCCUUACAAGCUUUCCCACCCGCCUCGUCCCACGCAACUUGAAGUCACUCAAUCCCCCGCUACCCUUAUAAGAUACCUUUUUGACAGGUGUUUUUGCCUCCACCCAUCCUCGAUCCCCCGCCUUCCCUCAUGAUCACCUUCAUCCCCGCACGACAGGUGAGGGCGAUGUUCUAGCGCGUGCUUCUCUCAUUGGCUCGACCUCUUAAUUAUUCCCGCCUACUCAAUUUGUCAUUGAUUCCCAGCCGUAGUGGACAGCUGUUCCUGGUGUCCAUACCCCAUCCCACCCACCCACAACCUCCAUUAUGUGAAUUAACAAAGCAGAACGCUUUGCUGCGAUCUUUCGGUCUCUGUUACGCAAACAUGGUCCGUUCUUAGCCGCGAGCUAUAAGGCUAGGGGAUUUACAUACAAUGCCAUCACCUCCAGCUGUACGGCAGGCUUUCGGGGUGGAAGGGGGAAAGGAUUUUCCGCUUGACCGACCAGGAUGAGAUAACAGUCACGCCUGAGAAGCCACCAGACUGUCCGCCGACAACUGGUUCCCCGCUGUAGUCUUACGGAGAUCUUCAGCCUUGUUAGAGGUCCUACACCAGCCAUGCUCACCCUUUCUAGAAUAAAAACCCGUAUGUAUUCCUGGGGAACAAUAUUCUGUAUGUCCAAAAUCCGUGUUUAAUGACAAUAAAGUCUUGAUGGGUUUGCUGUACUUUAAGUCACUUGUGUAUGUUUU